AGCAACGUGGCCGAGUGGUUAGGUGGAGGUCUGCAAAACCUUUUACAGCGGUUCGAAUCCGCUCGUUGCUU
rnacentral:tRNA from 1 species